rnacentral:tmRNA from 1 species
CCACUUGCGUCAGCCGCAACCCGGCCCUAUCUUUGCCCUUGUCCGGGUUCGCCCGGACUAUGGACAUAAACGCGCAGGUAAUAAGCGGAUUGGACCCGGGGGCGGUACCCGGCGGCUCCACCAAAAUCCCUUCGUUGGGGGCAAAUGGGGCCGAAACAGGAUCGACAAACGUCUAAAGCUGUUUGCUUUGUCUCGGUGAGCUACCACCGUUAUCGGUGCAAAAAGUACAGUUGCCAACGACAACCGUGCUCCGGUGGCUCUGGCUGCGUAAGCAGUUCGAGUUAUCGAAACCUAAGUCCUUGCGCUUAGCCGCGUAAGGCGGGGCCCCCAGGCGCCUGGCAACAGAAGCCUGGGACU